UACGGGGGGGGGCAAGCGUUGUUCGGAAUUACUGGGCGUAAGGGGCGCGUAGGCGGCCAUCUAAGUCAGACGUGAAAUCCCCCGGCUUAACCUGGGAACUGCGUCUGAUACUGGGCGGCUCGAGUUUGGGAGAGGGAUGCAGAAUUCCAGGUGUAGCGGUGAAAUGCGUAGAUAUCUGGAGGAAUACCGGUGGCGAAGGCGGCAUCCUGGACUAACACUGACGCUGAGGCGCGAAAGCUAGGGGAGCAAACGGG
rnacentral:rRNA from 1 species